GACACGACGCCGGCCGGGGCCGCGCGGAUCUGCCGAGUCCGCGCGGCCCCGGCCGCUGCUGCCGGGUACACGCUCAGCCGUGCGUCGUGAUCCC
rnacentral:tRNA from 1 species